rnacentral:rRNA from 1 species
GGAUGAACGCUAGCGACAGGCUUAACACAUGCCUGUCGAGGGGCAGCGGAGGCGAGUGCUUGCACUUGCCAGACGGCGACCGGCGCACGGGUGAGUAACACGUAUGCGACCUGCCCGUAGCAGGGGGAUAAGCGGAAGAAAUUCCGUCUAAUACCGCGUAAUAUCUUUCGGGGGCAUCCCUGAGGGAUUAAAGGAAGCGAUUCCGGCUACGGAUGGGCAUGCGGCGCAUUAGCUAGUCGGCGGGGUAACGGCCCACCGAGGCGACGAUGCGUAGGGGUUCUGAGAGGAAGGUCCCCCACACUGGUACUGAGACACGGACCAGACUCCUACGGGAGGCAGCAGUGAGGAAUAUUGGUCAAUGGGCGAGAGCCUGAACCAGCCAAGUCGCGUGAGGGAAGACGGUCCUAUGGAUUGUAAACCUCUUUUGUCGGGGAGCAAAAAGGCCUCGUGAGGCCACAAGCGAGAGUACCCGAAGAAAAAGCAUCGGCUAACUCCGUGCCAGCAGCCGCGGUAAUACGGAGGAUGCGAGCGUUAUCCGGAUUUAUUGGGUUUAAAGGGUGCGUAGGCGGACUGGAAAGUCAGCGGUAAAAUCGAGAGGCUCAACCUCUUUCCGCCGUUGAAACUGUCGGUCUUGAGUGGGCGAGAAGUAUGCGGAAUGCGUGGUGUAGCGGUGAAAUGCAUAGAUAUCACGCAGAACUCCGAUUGCGAAGGCAGCAUACCGGCGCCCAACUGACGCUGAGGCACGAAAGCGUGGGUAUCGAACAGGAUUAGAUACCCUGGUAGUCCACGCAGUAAACGAUGAAUACUAAUUGUCCGGUCAGAAUGAUGACUGGGUGAUACAGCGAAAGCGUUAAGUAUUCCACCUGGGGAGUACGCCGGCAACGGUGAAACUCAAAGGAAUUGACGGGGGCCCGCACAAGCGGAGGAACAUGUGGUUUAAUUCGAUGAUACGCGAGGAACCUUACCCGGGCUCAAACGUAGAAUGACAGACGGUGAAAGCCGUUCUCCCUUCGGGGCAGUCUACGAGGUGCUGCAUGGUUGUCGUCAGCUCGUGCCGUGAGGUGUCGGCUUAAGUGCCAUAACGAGCGCAACCCCCAUCUACAGUUGCUAACAGGUAAAGCUGAGGACUCUGUGGAGACUGCCGGCGCAAGCUGUGAGGAAGGCGGGGAUGACGUCAAAUCAGCACGGCCCUUACGUCCGGGGCGACACACGUGUUACAAUGGCAGGUACAGCGGGAAGCCACCCGGCGACGGGGCGCAGAACCCGAAAACCUGUCUCAGUUCGGAUUGGAGUCUGCAACUCGACUCCAUGAAGCUGGAUUCGAUAGUAAUCGCGCAUCAGCCACGGCGCGGUGAAUAC